UACGUAGGUGGCAAGCGUUGUCCGGAUUUACUGGGCGUAAAGGAUGCGUAGGUGGAUAUUUAAGUGGGAUGUGAAAUACCCGGGCUCAACUUGGGUGCUGCAUUCCAAACUGGAUAUUUAGAGUGCAGGAGAGGUAAGUGGAAUUCCUAGUGUAGCGGUGAAAUGCGUAGAGAUUAGGAAGAACACCAGUGGCGAAGGCGACUUACUGGACUGUAACUGACACUGAGGCAUGAAAGCGUGGGGAGCAAACAGG
rnacentral:rRNA from 1 species